rnacentral:rRNA from 1 species
CCUAUGGGUGACAGCAGUGAGGAAUAUUGGUCAAUGGGCGCGAGCCUGAACCAGCCAAGUCGCGUGAGGGAAGACGGCCCUACGGGUUGUAAACCUCUUUUGCCGGGGAGCAACGGGCGCCACGUGUGGCGCCACUGAGAGUACCCGGCGAAAAAGCAUCGGCUAACUCCGUGCCAGCCGCCGCGGUAAUACGUAGGAUGCGAGCGGUAUCCGGAUUUAUUGGGGUUAAAGGGUGCGUAGGCGGGGCGUUAAGUCAGUGGUCAAAUUGAGGGGCUCAACCCCUUCCCGCCAUUGAAACUGGCGCUCUUGAGUGGAAGAGAAGUAUGCGGAAUGCGUGGUGUAGCGGUGAAAUGCAUAGAUAUCACGCAGAACCCCGAUUGCGAAGGCAGCAUGCCGGCUUCCGACUGACGCUGAAGCACGAAAGCGUGGGGAUCGAACAGGAUUAGAUACCCGUGUAGUC